ACGAACGCUGGCGGCGUGCUUAACACAUGCAAGUCGAACGGAAAGGCCCCGCUUUUGUGGGGUGCUCGAGCGGCGAACGGGUGAGUAACACGUGAGUAACCUGCCCCUGACUUUGGGAUAACUUCAGGAAACUGGGGCUAAUACCGGAUAGGAGCUCCUGCUGCAUGGUGGGGGUUGGAAAGUUUCGGCGGUUGGGGAUGGACUCGCGGCUUAUCAGCUUGUUGGUGGGGUAGUGGCUUACCAAGGCUUUGACGGGUAGCCGGCCUGAGAGGGUGACCGGCCACAUUGGGACUGAGAUACGGCCCAGACUCCUACGGGAGGCAGCAGUGGGGAAUAUUGCACAAUGGGCGGAAGCCUGAUGCAGCAACGCCGCGUGCGGGAUGACGGCCUUCGGGUUGUAAACCGCUUUCGCCUGUGACGAAGCGUGAGUGACGGUAAUGGGUAAAGAAGCACCGGCUAACUACGUG
rnacentral:rRNA from 1 species